rnacentral:rRNA from 1 species
AAGGUUGGGUAACACUAACUGGAGGACCGAACCCACUGUCGUUGAAAAGCCAGGGGAUGACUUGUGGAUAGGGGUGAAAGGCUAAUCAAACUCGGUGAUAGCUGGUUCUCCCCGAAAGCUAUUUAGGUAGCGCCUCGGACGAAUACCAUUGGGGGUAGAGCACUGUUUCGGCUAGGGGGUCAUCCCGACUUACCAAACCGAUGCAAACUCCGAAUACCAAUGAGUACUAUCCGGGAGACAGACUGCGGGUGCUAACGUCCGUAGUCAAGAGGAAAACAAUCCAGACCGCCAGCUAAGGUCCCUAAAUCAUAGUUAAGUGGGAAACGAUGUGGGAAGGCAUAGACAGCUAGGAGGUUGGCUUAGAAGCAGCCACCCUUUAAAGAAAGCGUAAUAGCUCACUAGUCGAGUCGGCCUGCGCGGAAGAUGUAACGGGGCUAAAACUAUGUACCGAAGCUGCGGAUUUGCAAUUUAUUGCAAGUGGUAGGGGAGCGUUCUGUAAGCCGAUGAAGGUGGAUUGAGAAGUCUGCUGGAGGUAUCAGAAGUGCGAAUGCUGACGUGAGUAACGACAAAACGGGUGAAAAACCCGUUCGCUGAAAGACCAAGGGUUCCAGUCCAACGUUAAUCGGGGCUGGGUGAGUCGACCCCUAAGGCGAGGCCGAGAGGCGUAGUCGAUGGGAAAUUGGUUAAUAUUCCAAUACUUCAGUGUAAUGCGAUGAGAGGACGGAGAAGGUUAAGUCAGCCUGGCGUUGGUUGUCC